CAAAGCGGAGGAAAAGAAACCAACAGGGAUUGCCUUAGUAGCGGCGAGUGAAGCGGCAAAAGCUCAAAUUUGAAAUCUGGCUCUUUCAGAGUCCGAGUUGUAAUUUGAAGAAGGUAUCUUUGGGUCUGGCUCUUGUCUAUGUUUCUUGGAACAGAACGUCACAGAGGGUGAGAAUCCCGUGCGAUGAGAUGAUCCAGGCCUAUGUAAAGUUCCUUCGAAGAGUCGAGUUGUUUGGGAAUGCAGCUCUAAGUGGGUGGUAAAUUCCAUCUAAAGCUAAAUAUUGGCGAGAGACCGAUAGCGAACAAGUACAGUGAUGGAAAGAUGAAAAGAACUUUGAAAAGAGAGUGAAAAAGUACGUGAAAUUGUUGAAAGGGAAGGGCUUGAGAUCAGACUUGGUAUUUUGUAUGUUACUUCUUCGGGGGUGGCCUCUACAGUUUAUCGGGCCAGCAUCAGUUUGGGCGGUAGGAGAAUUGCGUUGGAAUGUGGCACGACUUUGGUUGUGUGUUAUAGCCUUCGUCGAUACUGCCAGCCUAGACUGAGGACUGCGGUUUAUACCUAGGAUAUUGGCAUAAUGAUCUUAAGUCGCCCGUCUUGAAAACGGGAAAAACAAAA
rnacentral:rRNA from 1 species